rnacentral:rRNA from 1 species
GAUGAACGCUGGCGGCGUGCCUAAUACAUGCAAGUCGAGCGAACAGACGAGGAGCUUGCUCCUCUGACGUUAGCGGCGGACGGGUGAUUAACACGUGGAUAACCUACCUAUAAGACUGGGAUAACUUCGGGAAACCGGAGCUAAUACCGGAUAAUAUAUUGAACCGCAUGGUUCAAUAGUGAAAGACGGUUCUGCUGUCACUUAUAGAUGGAUCCGCGCCGCAUUAGCUAGUUGGUAAGGUAACGGCUUACCAAGGCAACGAUGCGUAGCCGACCUGAGAGGGUGAUCGGCCACACUGGAACUGAGACACGGUCCAGACUCCUACGGGAGGCAGCAGUAGGGAAUCUUCCGCAAUGGGCGCAAGCCUGACGGAGCAACGCCGCGUGAGUGAUGAAGGUCUUCGGAUCGUAAAACGCUGUUAUUCGGGAAGAACAAAUGUGUAAGUAACUAUGCACGUCUUGACGGUACCUAAUCAGAAAGCCACGGCUAACUACGUG